rnacentral:rRNA from 1 species
AGUAAAUUGGUUAAGUUAGAAAGGGCGCACGGUGGAUGCCUUGGCACUAGGAGCCGAAGAAGGACGGGACUAACACCGAUAUGCUUUGGGGAGCUGUACGUAAGCGUU